rnacentral:rRNA from 1 species
GACGAACGCUGGCGGCGUGCUUAAUACAUGCAAGUCGAGCGAACAGACGCGGAGCUUGUUGCUCGGUCGUUAGCGGCGGAGGGGUGAGUAACACGAGGAUAAUCCCCUUAUCAGACUGGGAUAAUUUCGGGAAACCGGCGCUAAUACCGGAGAAUAUACUGCAGCGUAUGGUUGAUUGGUGAGAGACGGUUUUUGUGUCAGUUAUAGAUGGGUCCGCGCCGCAUUAGCUAGUUGGUGAGGUAACGGCUUACCAAGGCAACGAUGCGUAGCCGACCUGAGAGGGGGGUCGGCGACACUGGAGCUGAGACGCGGUCACGAGUCCUACGAGAGGCAGCAGUAGGGAAUCGUCGGCAAUGGUGGAGAGCAUGACGGAGCAGCGCCGCGUGAGUGAUGAAGGUGUUCGGAGCGUAAAACUCUGUUUUUAGGGGUGAACAAAUGUGGAAGUAACUAUGCACGGCUUGACGGUACCUGAUCAGAAAGCCACGGCUAACUACGUG